rnacentral:rRNA from 1 species
AUUGAACGCUGGCGGCAUGCUUUACACAUGCAAGUCGAACGGUAGAGGCUUCGGCCUUGAGAGUGGCGAACGGGUGAGUAAUGCAUCGGAACAUACCCAGUCGUGGGGGAUAACGUAGCGAAAGUUACGCUAAUACCGCAUACGUCCUGAGGGAGAAAGCGGGGGAUCGCAAGACCUCGCGCGAUUGGAGUGGCCGAUGUCAGAUUAGCUAGUUGGUGGGGUAAAGGCCUACCAGGGCGACGAUCUGUAGCGGGUCUGAGAGGAUGAUCCGCCACACUGGGACUGAGACACGGCCCAGACUCCUACGGGAGGCAGCAGUGGGGAAUUUUGGACAAUGGGCGCAAGCCUGAUCCAGCCACGCCGCGUGCGGGAAGAAGGCCUUCGGGUUGUAAACCGCUUUCGGACGGAAAGAAAUCGCCAAUCCUAAUACGGUUGGUGGAUGACGGUACCGUAAGAAGAAGCACCGGCUAACUACGUGCCAGCAGCCGCGGUAAAGUCAGUGAC